ACGGGGGCGAUGGGGCCGCGGCUGCUGCUCGCCGCGGGGCUGCUGCUCGCCGCUGGCACCGGCAGCGCUGCAGGUGACAGCUCGCAGCAGCAGCGCAGUGAGGAAUUAGGACACUCCUGGUCUGUGACCCCGUGGGUCCUGUGGGAUAACCGGACACUCAGCUUGGCAGAAGCCACCCAGGGGGGGUUCCCCGCCCGUCUGACGGUCCUGCUGGAGCUGGAGGGGAUGCGGCUGCUGCUGGAGCUGGAGCAAAACUGGGAGCUGGUGCAGGGCACUGGGGCGCUGCUCUAUUACCUGCCCGACGGCACACAGGUGAUCCAGGAGCCCAGACAGCAGGAGCACUGCUGCUACCAGGGGACAGUGCGGGGCUUCCCCGGCUCCUGGGCCAACCUCUGUGCCUGCGCUGGACUCAGCGGCCGCCUCUGGCUGUCGGACACCAGGAGCUACACGCUGGAGCCGGACACCAGCAGCCCCCCAGGGCAGCACAUGGCAUCCCACCUUCGGCUGGACCCACAGAGCUGCAGGCAGGGCCCCCACCCUGGGCCAGAGGCAACAGAGCCCCCCUGGCCGCAGAGGGACAAGCGGGCAGCGGCAGAGCAGCGCUUUGUGGAGCUGGUGAUGGUGGUGGACCACGCUGCGUUCCAGAAUUACCCCAGCCUACAGCGUGUUCACACCCGGACCCUGGAAAUUGCCAACCAGGUGGAUGUGUUCUUCCGCCCGCUGGGAGUGCGGGUGGCCCUGCUGGCGGUGGAGGUCUGGAGCGAGGGUGACAAGAUCGCGGUGGGCGGCAGCGCCCGGGCCGUGCUGGAGCGGUUCCUGCGCUGGCGCCGGGAGGAGCUGCUGCCCCGGCUGCCCCACGACAACGCCCAGCUCCUGACGGGUGCCCACUUCGAUGAUGUCUCAGUGGGGAUGUCCACUCAAGCCUCCGUGUGUUCCCCCACGCGCUCCGGGGGGGUCAGCAUGGACCACUCUGUCAGUGUCCUCGUCGUGGCCUCCACUGUGGCCCAUCAGCUGGGGCACAACCUGGGCAUGCGCCACGACGGCGCCGGGCGCCUCUGCGACUGCGGCGACCUCCGGCACGACCGCGGCUGCAUCAUGGCAGCGCCCACAGGGUUGACACCUGGCUUGAGCUUCAGCAACUGCAGCCGGCAGGACCUGGAGCGCAGCCUGCAGCAGGGCCAGGGCUGGUGCCUCUCCAACGUCCCCGAGCCCCAGCUCCUGACUGGGAGCCCCACCUGUGGGAACCACUUCGUAGAGCUGGGCGAGCAAUGCGACUGCGGCCUCAGCGUGGAGUGCACGGAUCCCUGCUGCAACAGCAGCUCCUGCCAGCUGAUGCCAGGGGCCGUGUGUGCCACCGAGGAUGCCUGCUGUGAGGACUGCCAGCUGCGCCGUGCUGGCCACGUGUGUCGGGAGCUGCUGGGCGAGUGCGACCUGCCCGAGUUCUGCGACGGGGUCUCGCCGCGCUGCCCCCCUGACACGUUCCUGCAGGACGGGCAGCCCUGCGCCGGCGGGCGGGCACGCUGCUACAGCGGGGCCUGUGCCACCUACGAGGGGCAGUGCCAGCAGCUGCUGGGGCCAGGUGCCAGUCCUGUCUCCAGCUCCUGCAUGGCCGCCCUGAACACAAGAGGGGAUGAACGUGGGCACUGCGGGCAGCUCCCCAAUGGCUCCUUUGUCACUUGCACCCAGCAGGACACCAGCUGUGGAAUGCUGCAGUGCCAGCGUGGCAGCUCCCGUGGGGACAGCCCAGAAGGGUUCUGCCAGGGGACCACCCUGCCCGGGGAUGAGGAUGUGACCGAUGCGGCCAUGGUGCUGCCUGGCACCACCUGUGGCCCCGGGAAGGUGUGCCUCCAGCACCGGUGCCAGAACGUCUCCAUGCUGGGUGACCAGCAGUGCCAGAGCAAAUGCCACGGGCACGGGGUGUGCAACAACCGCGGGCACUGCCACUGCGAGCGGGGCUGGGCCCCCCCAAGCUGUGACAGCCCCGGAGUGGGGGGCAGCCAGGACAGCGGCCCUGCCGGCCUUGAGCGAGGGGGAAGCGCCCUGCCCACGGCCCUGCUGCUGAGCGCGCUGCUGGGGCUGGCGCUGGCACUGGGGCUGUGCCGUGCCCGCCGUGCCGGCCUGCACAAGCGCCUCUGCCAGCUUGGGAAAGGCACCUCCUGCCAGUACAGUGCUGAGACCCGGGUGCGGUUCCUGGGUCCCGGAGCCGCAGACGGCUGGAGCGGGAUCUCGCAGCCAGAGCCGCGGUCGGGCAGCAGCCAAGGCCCCCCUGCGCGUCCCCGGCCCCCGCAGUGGCGCCAGGCCACGGAGCUGCAGGUCAUGCACGGCAGCAAGCCGGCUGCCCUCGGCUCAGCCCGGCCCGAUCCGCCCUCCCGGCCUCUCCCGCCGGACCCUGUGCCCAAGGCCCCCCCCUCGGACAGGCCGCCCCCCCCCACACGCCCGCUGCCCGCAGACCCUGCGCCGCUGAGCGCUCAGCCCCCAGGUCCAGCCAAGCCCCCCCCACCGCAGCGGCCACUGCCCUCGGACCCCCCCGGCCCUUCGGUGCCCCGCAGCGAGACCCCCCCCGGGCACCCCUAUGUCACCGUGAUCCCUGCCAGGUUCCUGCGGGACGACUACUCCAUCCAGGUGGCCAUCAAUGACUACCUGGACAUCUACUGCCCGCACUACGAGGCGGCGGUGCCCGCCGGCCGGGCAGAGACCUUCACGCUCUUCAUGGUGGAUCGGGAGGGCUAUCGCGGCUGCUACGAGACCCCCGGCGCCUUCAAGCGCUGGGAGUGCAACCGGCCCCGGGCGCCCUUCGGGCCCGUCCGAUUCUCCGAGAAGAUCCAGCGUUUCACCCCUUUCUCACUCGGCUUCGAGUUCCAGCCGGGGGAGACCUACUACUACAUCUCCGUGCCCAGCCCCGAGAGCGCCGGGCGAUGCCUGAAGCUGCGCGUCACCGUCUGCUGCCGAGGCACCACGCCAGAGCCGGUGACAGAGGUGCCGAAUUCGCAGCCCCGAGGGCGCGGGGGCCCCGACGAUGCGGCUCCUGCCCGCGGCUCCGCGGUCCCAUCGCAGCCCUGCAACCCAUGCCUGACGCUCGUGCUCCUGGCCCUGCUCUGGAUCUGACCCCGGCGCUGCCCCUGGCGGGGGGAUGGGCUCCUCUGCCCCAACGCCGCUUCCAGACUCUUCCUCACAGCCGACCCCCCCGAGCCCGUGGGGCAGCCCCAGGCCAUGACCCGCCUGCUGGACCUCCGCAAAGCCGAGCUGGGGCCGGGAGCUCCGGGCUGGAAGGGCCGUCGCUUGCCACUGGCAUCGCCGCUCGUCGGGAUUGCCACGAGUCCUCGCGCUGGGACUGCCACACCCCGGCACUGCCCCGCCGGCCACCUGCCCGGCGCUGGGGUCCCCUCAGCGAACGCCUGCUCUGCCCCACGGCCAUCACCUCAUCUCGUGCCUUUCCCCACGGACCCCCACCCCUGGGGCCCAGGGACCCCCGACCCCGGAGCGGGGCAGCAGCUCCGAUGGCGGCGUCCGCCGCUGCUGUGUCCUCCUCCAGCGAGGACACGCUGAUCUGUCUUCUGGGAAGACGCCUUCCUCCGUGCCCUCGGUUUGGUUUUAACCCUUGGUAGUGACUGAGCAAUACAA